AUUGAAUGCUGGCGGCAGGCCUAACACAUGCAAGUCGAGCGGAUGAAGGGAGCUUGCUCCUGGAUUCAGCGGCGGACGGGUGAGUAAUGCCUAGGAAUCUGCCUGGUAGUGGGGGAUAACGUCCGGAAACGGGCGCUAAUACCGCAUACGUCCUGAGGGAGAAAGUGGGGGAUCUUCGGACCUCACGCUAUCAGAUGAGCCUAGGUCGGAUUAGCUAGUUGGUGGGGUAAAGGCCUACCAAGGCGACGAUCCGUAACUGGUCUGGGAGGAUGAUCAGUCACACUGGAACUGAGACACGGUCCAGACUCCUACGGGAGGCAGCAGUGGGGAAUAUUGGACAAUGGGCGAAAGCCUGAUCCAGCCAUGCCGCGUGUGUGAAGAAGGUCUUCGGAUUGUAAAGCACUUUAAGUUGGGAGGAAGGGCAGUAAGCUAAUACCUUGCUGUUUUGACGUUACCAACAGAAUAAGCACCGGCUAACUUCGUG
rnacentral:rRNA from 1 species